rnacentral:lncRNA from 1 species
GAUAAUAAAACAAAAUCCAAAUUUAUUAAAUAUAAUUAAGAGUACCUCAGGGGUAAAAAUGUAAGGAUAAAUGGUUCGUGCUCGAAGCUCAGCGGCAACAACGUUCCAGUCACGNNNNNNNNNNNNNNNNNUGUCCCCCAUCUACCCAUCACCUCCGUCCCCAUCAACGUACACGUGUACGUCCAGGAUUAAAAAUAAUAACCACUACCUUCCUUUUUGAAAUGAUAAUAACAACCUGCGCACCGGUUCACGUUAGCAAACGCCGCCUUGUUCAAAAUAAAAAAAUAAAAAAAUAAAAAAAAUCAACCACCAUCCUCUCCGGCAACAUUGAUAACCGGAAACGACGGCGUGAAAAUAAGGCUUACCGGUGUCGGAGGAUGAAAACUGAAAAAGCGGUUUUCCGGCGGGAAUUUCGGGGAAUGGUGGUUUUUGUUGGUUUAAGGUGGUUUUAUGAGGUUGUUUUUUUGUUGUAUAUAAAAGAAAAAGGUAAAUUAUUCUAUUCUAUUUGAAAGGUUAAACAACAACGAUGAAGAAGACAACAACAAGAACAACAAUAAUAACAUCAAAAUCAAAAGCUAAUAGGAAAAAAUAAUGAAUGGAUUAUGAUGAUGAACCAAUUGACAAUUGUGUUUUCCUAAUUACGGUUUUUUUUUUUUGUUUGUUUCUCUCUCUCUGGCCUAUUUUCUCUCUCUAUCUAUAAUGGUGGUUUAUAU